rnacentral:rRNA from 1 species
UACGGAGGGUGCGAGCGUUGUUCGGAAUUACUGGGCGUAAAGGGCGUGUAGGCGGUUUGACAAGUCAGAUGUGAAAGCCUGGGGCUCAACCCCAGAAGUGCAUUUGAAACUGUCAAACUAGAGUAUGGGAGAGGAGAGUGGAAUUCCCGGUGUAGAGGUGAAAUUCGUAGAUAUCGGGAGGAACAUCCGUGGCGAAGGCGGCUCUCUGGACCAAUACUGACGCUGAGACGCGAAAGCGUGGGGAG